rnacentral:misc_RNA from 1 species
GAAGUAACAAGGUUUCCGUAGGUGAACCUGCGGAAGGAUCAUUAUUGUAUAACCGAGGUGCGAGGGCUGUCGCUGACCCGAAAGGUCGUGCACGCCCGAGUGCCCUCACACACAUCCAUCUCACCCCUAUGUGCACCACCGCGUGGGUCCCCCUUUGGCUUGUUCGGAGGGGGGCUUACGUUUUCACACAAACUUUGUAUGCAGUGUAGAAUGUAUUUUUUGUUUUUGCGAUCACGCAAUCAAUACAACUUUCAACAACGGAUCUCUUGGCUCUC